UUUUGACAAACUCAAAGCCGAGUUCCUGCUACUCUGAAGAAGCGCGAAAGGAGCCGCAUGCGAUCCUCCACCAUUGCGCAUCACGAAGUUCUCCAUCUCCGUUGCCGCCUAGCUUCACCUCCAUCACUUUUUCCCAUCGUCAUCAAGGUCGGAUUCGAAGGGCGGUGGGCGAAAACUGAGACGCGCAGGGUGUUGCCUAGAGCCCAAGAGAUAGAUAUCACAGGAAAUUGGGGGCUUUAAGCCGUGGCGGAGCGGGCACACUACAACAACCUCAUAGUCUGACAAAAAGGGAACCAACGCACCGUUGAUCGAAUUUGACGUUCCACCUCCGCCGGAGUCAGUCGCGAGGCCGGGCAUUGCGAGGGAAGAGGCAGAGUGCCCCAUUUUU
rnacentral:misc_RNA from 1 species